rnacentral:rRNA from 1 species
GUGGGGAAUAUUGCGGCAAUGGAGGAAACUCUGACCCAGCGACGCCGCGUGCGGGAUGAAGGCCUUCGGGUUGUAAACCGCUUUCAGUAGGGAAGAAGCGAAAGUGACGGUACCUACAAAAGAAGCACCGGCUAACUAUGUGCCAGCAGCCGCGGUAAUACAUAGGGUGCNAGCGUUGUCCGGAAUUAUUGGGCGUAAAGAGCUCGUAGGUCGUUUGUUACGUCGGAUGUGAAAACCUGAGGCUCAACCUCAGGCCUGCAUUCAAUACGGGCAAACUAGAGUUUGGUAGGGGAGACUGGAAUUCCUGGUGUAGCGGUGGAAUGCGCAGAUAUCAGGAGGAACACCAAUGGCGAAGGCAGGUCUCUGGGCCAAUACUGACACUNAGGAGCGAAAGUCUGGGGAGCGAA